GACGAACGCUGGCGGCGUGCUUAACACAUGCAAGUCGAACGGUGAAGCGCCUUCCUUUUUGGUGGGUGUGGAUGAGUGGCGAACGGGUGAGUAACACGUGAGUAACCUGCCCCCUUCUUCUGGAUAACCGCAUGAAAGUGUGGCUAAUACGGGAUAUUCUGGGUCUGUCGCAUGAUGGGUCUGGGAAAGAUAUUGUUUCGGUGGGGGAUGGGCUCGCGGCCUAUCAGCUUGUUGGUGGGGUGAUGGCCUACCAAGGCGGUGACGGGUAGCCGGCCUGAGAGGGUGGACGGUCACACUGGGACUGAGAUACGGCCCAGACUCCUACGGGAGGCAGCAGUGGGGAAUAUUGCACAAUGGGCGCAAGCCUGAUGCAGCGACGCCGCGUGAGGGAUGGAGGCCUUCGGGUUGUGAACCUCUUUCGCCAGUGAAGCAGGCCUGCCUCGUUUGUGGGUGGGUUGACGGUAGCUGGAUAAGAAGCGCCGGCUAACUACGUG
rnacentral:rRNA from 1 species